rnacentral:rRNA from 1 species
GUGGGGAAUAUUGGACAAUGGGCGAAAGCCUGAUCCAGCCAUGCCGCGUGUGUGAAGAAGGUCUUCGGAUUGUAAAGCACUUUAAGUUGGGAGGAAGGGCAGUAAGUUAAUACCUUGCUGUUUUGACGUUACCGACAGAAUAAGCACCGGCUAACUUCGUGCCAGCAGCCGCGGUAAUACGAAGGGUGCAAGCGUUAAUCGGAAUUACUGGGCGUAAAGCGCGCGUAGGUGGUUUUGUAAGUUGGAGGUGAAAUCCCCGGGCUCCACCUGGGAACUGCCUCCAAAACUGCAUGACUAGAGUACGGUAGAGGGUAGUGGAAUUUCCUGUGUAGCGGUGAAAUGCGUAGAUAUAGGAAGGAAAACCAGUGGCGAAGGCGACUACCUGGACUGAUACUGACACUGAGGUGCGAAAGCGUGGGGAGCAAACAGGAUUAGAAACCCGAGUAGUCC